UACGUAGGGUGCAAGCGUUGUCCGGAAUUAUUGGGCGUAAAGGGCUCGUAGGCGGUCCAUCGCGUCGGGAGUGAAAAGCUGGGGCUUAACCCCAGUCCUGCUUCCGAUACGGGUGGACUAGAGGUAGGUAGGGGAGAACGGAAUUCCCGGUGUAGCGGUGAAAUGCGCAGAUAUCGGGAGGAACACCAGUAGCGAAGGCGGCUCGCUGGGCCAUUCCUGACGCUGAGACGCGAAAGCUAGGGGAGCGAACAGG
rnacentral:rRNA from 1 species